rnacentral:lncRNA from 9 species
AGGCACAAGCGGCUCUCUGUAAAUAAAUAAGUAAACUAAUUGGUUGGUUAAUUCUAAACAGAUCAUAAAUGCUCCACUUGUUUCUCAACCACACUGAUCACUCCAGGAAGAUUAUUAAGCAAUUGUUUUGCAUACUGCAAUAAGACAGACGGAGAGAGGAGAGAGAAGGACAGACGGAGAGACUGCUCAAAUAAAAACAUGGGGAAAGACGGUGUGUAAUGUGAGUAGAUCCUAAUGAAGAAAGUCUCCCAACCACCAUGUCUGAUUCUGAUCAAACCUGAGGUUCUCUACACACCUGCACGACUAGAGGAUGAGAAGAGCCAAGUAAGAUCUUACUCUACCCUGGCACCAUUCUAGGAAUUGAAGAUAUGAUGGUAGACAAGACACAUGGGAUCCCUGCCUUUAUGGAGCCGAGAAGCCAGUGCAGAUGACAGACAGUAAUGGGUGAACAAAGAGGAACAUAUGAAUUCACACGAGAUGGAGAAAAUUGUGCCCAGUGGGGCUGUGGAAAGGUUGGAUAGAGGCUGGGGAUUACCAGACAAUAAGAGGAUGGUGGCCCUCUUAGAGGAGAUAAAAGAUCAGCAGCAAUAUGAACAAGGAGAAGGAGAGGAAACACUGGAGGAUUUCUAGGGAGAAAAAUCAGCAAGUGCUGAAAUCGAUGUGGCCAUGAGUUUGGUGUCUUAGAAACUGCACGGCUAGAAAGGAAUGAGCAAGGACAUGAUGAAGAUGAACUAGAGGGUUCUUUGGGGGCCAGAUCAUGAAGUACCGGGAAAGACAUGGCAAAGACCUUUGAUUUUAUUUUAACUGUUAUGGGAAGCUAGUGAAUCAUUUAAAUGGAGGAGUAACAUUCUGAUUUGUCAGUUAAAAUAUCACACUGGCUACUGUUAGGAGAAUAGAUUGGUGAGGGGCAUAAGUAGAAACAGUCAGGCAAAUACAAGAUGUGUUGAGCAAUGUUCAUACCUACCCAAAUCACGUCUCCUUUCUUACACAGUAAAAAAUUCAGUGCUUCUUCUGGUCAGUCCUGUGACUGCCUAGAAAAGGGUAUUUAAUCUUCUGUCCUUCAAGAAGGAGUCGCUGGUGGGGUGUAAUCAGAAGCUGGAGAGGGAGUCAGAGUCCCGUUGGCCCUUGCUCUUUCCUCCUGUCUGUGGUCAGGGGUGUGAACAUGAUGGCCAACCAGUGAUAUCGGCGUCUUGGGCCAUGGGGUUACUCUAGGAAUGCAGAGCAAGAAGGUAGAAGGAUGGGAUUCUGUGUGGAAGAAUACAGGCAAACCUCACUUCAUUGGGCUUUGCUUUAUCUUGCUUCAAACAUAUUGCACUUUAUACAAAUUGAAGUUUUGCAACAACCCUGCAUUGGGCAAGACUAUUGGGUGACAUUUAUUCAACAGCAUUUGCUCACUUCAUGUCUCUAUGUCACAUUUUGGUAAUUUAAAAAUAUUCCAAGCUUUUUCAUUAUUAUUAUAUUUGUUUUGGUGAUUUGUGAUCAGCCAUCUUUGAUGUUACUGUUGUAAUACUUUUGGUAUUUUUAGCAACAAAGUAUUUUUAACUAAGAUAUAUACAUUGCUUCUUAGACAUAAUGCUAUUGCACACUUAAGAGACUACACUGUAGUAUCAACAUAACUUUUUUAUGCACUGGGAAACCAGAACUUUCAUGUGACUCGCUUUAUUGCACUAUUCGCUUUAUUGUAAUGGUCUGGAAAAGAACCCACACUGCCUCGGAUGAAAACCUGUAAAUUUGUGUUUUGUUUAAGCCACUGACAUUUGGGGGUUUAGGUUAGGCAAAUCUAACUCCAACUAAUUCGGUAGACAACCAUGGCUUAAUGAGACCCCAAAAAUGUUUGACUUGGGUAUAGUGUAGAAGGUGGGAUUUGUUGGGUAGCAAAGUAUAUUUUGAAAGUGGAAUCAUGAGUAUUUACUGAUCUGAAUUUUCUGGAUGAAUGUGGAGGAUGAGAGAAAGGGAGGAACCAAGGAUGGCUUCCAGGAUUUUUGCCUUGGUAACUGGAAAGUGGAUAAUAAAACAAGCUCCUGGUGUAGGGUUACAAGGGGGCAGAGUUCUAAU